UACGAAGGGGGCUAGCGUUGUUCGGAAUCACUGGGCGUAAAGCGCGUGUAGGCGGACUGUUAAGUCGGGGGGUGAAAUCCCGAGGCUCAACCUCGGAAUUGCCUUCGAUACUGGCAGUCUUUGAAUCCGGGAGAGGGACGUGGAAUUCCUGGUGUAGCGGUGAAAUGCGUAGAUAUCAGGAGGAACACCGGUGGCGAAGGCGGCUCUCUGGACGGUGACUGACGCUGAGACGCGAAAGCGUGGGGAGCAAACAGG
rnacentral:rRNA from 1 species